AGAGUUUGAUCCUGGCUCAGGAUGAACGCUAGCGGCGUGCCUAAUGCAUGCAAGUCGAACGGCAGCCCUUGAUUUCGGUUAGGGGCGAGAGUGGCGAACGGGUGAGUAACACGUAGGUGACCUACCCUGGAGAGGGGGACAAUCACUGGAAACGGUGGCUAAUACCCCGGAUGUUGGCCCUGGUUAGAGGGGGUUAACUGAAGGUCGGUUUGCGGAGACGCAGACAGAUGCUCGAGGAGGGGCCUGCGGGCCAUCAGCUAGUUGGUGGGGUAAGAGCCUACCAAGGCGUAGACGGCUAGGGGGCGUGAGAGCGCGACCCCCCACACUGGUACUGAAACACGGACCAGAUACCUGCGGGUAGCAGCAGCAAGGAAUAUUGCGCAAUGGACGGAAGUCUGACGCAGCAACGCCGCGUGGAGGAAGAAGUCUUUCGGGAUGUAAACUCCUUUUCUGGGGGAAGAAGGCGGCCGUCUAAGGACGGUUUAGCUUGACGGUACCCCAGGAAUAAGGCCCGGCUAACUACGUGCCAGCAGCCGCGGUAAAACGUAGGGGUCGAGCGUUAUCCGGAAUUACUGGGCGUAAAGCGCGUGCAGGCGGCAAGGCAAGUCGGACGUGAAAGCUCCUGGCUCAACUGGGAGAGGACGUUCGAAACUGCCUAGCUAGAGAACGGUAGAGGCGAGUGGAAUUCCCGGUGUAGUGGUGAAAUGCGUAGAUAUCGGGAGGAACACCAGAGGCGAAGGCGGCUCGCUGGGCCGGUUCUGACGCUCAGACGCGAAAGCCAGGGGAGAGAACGGGAUUAGAAACCCCGGUAUUCCUGGCAGUAAACGAUGUCAACCAGGUGUAGGGGGUGUAGAAGCCUUCUGCGCUGCAGCUAACGCAAUAAGUUGACCGCCUGGGGAGUACGGCCGCAAGGCUAAAACUCAAAUGAAUUGACGG
rnacentral:rRNA from 1 species